AACGAACGCUGGCGGCAUGCCUAACACAUGCAAGUCGAACGAGACCUUCGGGUCUAGUGGCGCACGGGUGCGUAACGCGUGGGAACCUGCCCUUAGGUUCGGAAUAACUCCCCGAAAGGGGUGCUAAUACCGGAUAAUGUCUUCGGACCAAAGAUUUAUCGCCUUUGGAUGAGCCCGCGUUGGAUUAGCUAGUUGGUAGGGUAAAAGCCUACCAAGGCGACGAUCCAUAGCUGGUCUGAGAGGAUGAUCAGCCACACUGGGACUGAGACACGGCCCAGACUCCUACGGGAGGCAGUAGUGGAGAAUAUUGGACAAUGGGCGAAAGCCUGAUCCAGCAAUGCCGCGUGAGUGAUGAAGGCCUUAGGGUUGUAAAGCUCUUUUACCCGGGAUGAUAAUGACAGUACCGGGAGAAUAAGCUCCGGCUAACUCCGUG
rnacentral:rRNA from 1 species